GGGCACAUGGUGUAGUUGGUUAUCACACCCGCUUCGCAUGGAUAUACACAAUAGCAUAGGAUGCGGGUGGUGCCCGGUUCGAUUCCGGGUGUGUCCA